AACGAACGCUGGCGGCAUGCCUAACACAUGCAAGUCGAACGAGACCUUCGGGUCUAGUGGCGCACGGGUGGUUAAGGGGUGGGAACCUGCCCUUAGUUUCGGAUUAACUCCCGGAAAGGGGUGCUAAUACCGGUUAAUGUCUUGGGCCAAAAGAUUUAUCGCCUUUGGAUGGGCCGGCGUUGGAUUAGCUAGUUGGUAGGGUAAAAGCCUACCAAGGCGACGAUCCAUAGCUGGUCUGAGAGGAUGAUCAGCCACACUGGGACUGAGACACGGCCCAGACUCCUACGGGAGGCAGCAGUGGGGAAUAUUGGACAAUGGGCGAAAGCCUGAUCCAGCAAUGCCGCGUGAGUGAUGAAGGCCUUAGGGUUGUAAAGCUCUUUUACCCGGGAUGAUAAUGACAGUACCGGGAGAAUAAGCUCCGGCUAACUCCGUG
rnacentral:rRNA from 1 species